rnacentral:misc_RNA from 1 species
CAAGCCUGGCUUGUCGUUGGACCCUCUGUGUCGCUAGACCCACGCGACAGGUCCGAAAGAUAAUGAACGGUGUCGUGGUGACCCCCGAUUGCAACGAGCUUUUUUUUACAGCACGCAUGACGGCGGUUGACGGACCCGGUCUUACCCCCUAUUUUUCUCAGGUUGACCUCGGAUCAGGUAGGAAUACCCGCUGAACUUAA